UUCGGGACUGAUUAUUUUGUGACUGAGUGGCGGACGGGUGAGCAACGCGUGAGUAACCUGCCCUAGAGUGGGGGACAACAGUUGGAAACGACUGCUAAUACCGCAUAAUGUGCCGGGAGGGCAUCCUUCUGGUACCAAAGCUUUAUGUGCUCUGAGAUGAGCUCGCGUCUGAUUAGAUAGUUGGUGGGGUAACGGCCUACCAAGUCGACGAUCGGUAGCCGGACUGAGAGGUUGAACGGCCACAUUGGGACUGAGACACGGCCCAGACUCC
rnacentral:rRNA from 1 species